rnacentral:rRNA from 1 species
GAUGAACGCUGGCGGCGUGCCUAAUACAUGCAAGUCGAGCGAACAGGCGAGGAGCUUGCUCCUCUGACGUUAGCGGCGGACGGGUGAGUAACACGUGGAUAACCUACCUAUAAGACUGGGGUAACUUCGGGAAACCGGAGCUAAUACCGGAUAAUAUAUUGAACCGCAUGGUUCAAUAGUGAAAGACGGUUUUGCUGUCACUUAUAGAUGGAUCCGCGCCGCAUUAGCUAGUUGGUAAGGUAACGGCUUACCAAGGCAACGAUGCGUAGCCGACCUGAGAGGGUGAUCGGCCACACUGGAACUGAGACACGGUCCAGACUCCUACGGGAGGCAGCAGUAGGGAAUCUUCCGCAAUGGGCGAAAGCCUGACGGAGCAACGCCGCGUGAGUGAUGAAGGUCUUCGGAUCGUAAAACUCUGUUAUUAGGGAAGAACAAAUGUGUAAGUAACUAUGCACGUCUUGACGGUACCUAAUCAGAAAGCCACGGCUAACUACGAG